UGGGGAAUAUUGCACAAUGGGCGCAAGCCUGAUGCAGCCAUGCCGCGUGUGUGAAGAAGGCCUUCGGGUUGUAAAGCACUUUCAGCGAGGAGGAAGGUGGUGAGCUUAAUACGCUCAUCAAUUGACGUUACUCGCAGAAGAAGCACCGGCUAACUCCGUGCCAGCAGCCGCGGUGAUACGGAGGGUGCAAGCGUUAAUCGGAAUUACUGGGCGUAAAGCGCACGCAGGCGGUUUGUUAAGUCAGAUGUGAAAAUCCCCGGGCUCAACCUGGGAACUGCAUUUGAAACUGGCAAGCUAGAGUCUCGUAGAGGGGGGUAGAAUUCCAGGUGUAGCGGUGAAAUGCGUAGAGAUCUGGAGGAAUACCGGUGGCGAAGGCGGCCCCCUGGACGAAGACUGACGCUCAGGUGCGAAAGCGUGGGGCAGCAAACAGGAUUAGAUACCCUGGUAGUCCACGCUGUAAACGAUGUCGAUUUUGGAGGUUGUGCCCUUGAGGCGUGGCUUCCGGAGCUAACGCGUUAAAUCGACCGCCUGGGGAGUACGGCCGCAAGGUUAAAACUUAAAGGAAUUGACGGGGUCAUAGCUG
rnacentral:rRNA from 1 species